GCUGAGAAUGGCGGUCAAUUUAAAAUGUUAUGGAAUUGGCUUAGCUAAUGUAAUGUUAUGUAAUCUUGUAUUGUAAUGUUGCUUUAUGUAAAAUCAAGCUGAAUGUCAACAAGGUCCAUCACAAGGUAAGUAUCUCUCUUCCUUUGAAUUAUUCACUCGCGUUUGAGUAAUGUAACUAAAUCCCCCUCCCUUUCUCUUCUUCAGGCUCUCUACUAUCCAUGUUCAAAAGCAGGAGUAUCUCACAGCAGAGUGAGGAGGAAAUGAAGAGGACCACAGCUGAUCUCGUGCCAGAUGAAGACCUCCAGAAGACUAUAGCAGCUCACUCUCCAGUGAAGACAGCAACCCAGCAGAAGAACGAAGAACAACAGACUCAGGAAGAAGACCUCCAGAAGAUCCCCCCCCCCCCCCCCUUUUUAUCUUUAGUUUCCUGAUUGGUUCGGUUGUCUUGUCUGCUUCUUAGAUUAGUUCUCAUUGUAUUUAGUAGGGAGGAUACACACCAGGUCCUAGGGCCUGUGAUUAGUUGACCGGUAGUACCUAAUCUGCUUUUUGUUGCUACAGUAAUGCUUUUAUGCCUAAGGACUACAGUUGACUUGUUAACUUGAGUGCAGUCCUAAAGUUUCCAUCAAUGAAACUGUCUUCAUGUUAAACUGUUCAUGUUGUUGUUGCCCAAAUGAGGAUGGGUUCCCUUUUGAGUCUGGUUCCUCUCGAGGUUUCUUCCUCAUGUUGUUGUCUGAGGGAGUUUUUCCUUGCCACCGUCGCCACAGGCUUGCUCAUUGGGGAUAGAUUAGUGACAAAAUUAGCUCAUGUUUUAAGUUGUUCAAAUUCUGUAAAGCUGCUUUGCGACAAUGUUUGUUAAAAGCGUUAGACUUAUGUUGAUUUUUGCUGACUCAUCGGGUGUUUUUCAAUGCCUUGGUUGUUUGCUUGUGUUUUAUGGAAAAAUAAAC